GGCAGGAUAGCUCAGUUGGUUAGAGCACAGCACUCAUAAGGCUGAGGUCGUGAGUUCGAAUCUCACUCCUGCUACCA
rnacentral:tRNA from 1 species